rnacentral:rRNA from 1 species
UACGGAGGGUGCAAGCGUUGUCCGGAUUUAUUGGGUUUAAAGGGUGCGUAGGCGGCCAUUUAAGUCUGGGGUGAAAGCCCGUUGCUCAACAACGGAACUGCCCUGGAAACUGGAUGGCUUGAGUACAGACGAGGGUGGCGGAAUGGAUGCUGUAGCGGUGAAAUGCAUAGAUAGCAUCCAGAACCCCGAUUGCGAAGGCAGCUGCCUAGACUGUAACUGACGCUGAGGCACGAAGGUCAGGGGAGCAAACGGG